rnacentral:rRNA from 1 species
AACAGGAUUAGAUACCCUGGUAGUCCACGCCGUAAACGAUGUCGAUUUGGAGGUUGUGCCCUUGAGGCGUGGCUUCCGGAGCUAACGCGUUAAAUCGACGCCUGGGGAGUACGGCCGCAAGGUUAAAACUCAAAUGAAUUGACGGGGCCCGCACAAGCGGUGGAGCAUGUGGUUUAAUUCGAUGCAACGCGAAGAACCUUACCUGGUCUUGACAUCCACAGAACUUAGCAGAGAUGCUUUGGUGCCUUCGGGAACUGUGAGACAGGUGCUGCAUGGCUGUCGUCAGCUCGUGUUGUGAAAUGUUGGGUUAAGUCCCGCAACGAGCGCAACCCUUAUCCUUUGUUGCCAGCGGUCCGGCCGGGAACUCAAAGGAGACUGCCAGUGAUAAACUGGAGGAAGGUGGGG